CAGCUGACAGGCAUACUCUUCCAUGCCUGCUACUGCAACCUAUCAGACUUACCCAGUGAAGUGGUAAGAAGAAUCAGAAAUUGCAAUGAUAUAAGGAAACACAUGAAAAACUGAGAUGAAACUCUUUUGAAGAAGUAUUAGCAUCUACUUUACAAGUUUGGAGCUGUUUAUAGCUACUGUGCCAAAGAAGAUAAUCUAACAAAUGUAGCUUAAAAAAUGCACCACAGGAAUUUCUUUAAGAGAUGAAAGAUGGAUGACAAGCAGAGAAGCUCCUUCUUGCAAAGUUUAUGUAGCGAUUCUAUUACCUCUGUUGCAGUGUUUCCAAUGGAGAGAAACUUAAAAAACUAUGGAAAUUAUAUUCAAGAUCCUUUAAAAGCUACAUGUGUGGAGAACUGUUUCAGCAAACAUAUGAAAAGAAUGCACAAUGGCACCAGACCUUAGAGCAUGAUGUCUUACCAGCAGUGGGGAGAAAAAAUAUAUUAAAUAAAGUGUUUCCACUUGCAUCCGUUAGCAGAUGAGGACUCCCAUGGCAGAACCACUAGCAUUCCCAUUCCCAUCACUAUGAAAUGACAUCGAGGACGCUCUGCAGGAUGGAGUGCCAGCCACAGGGUGAUAGCUGACUGAGAAAGCACUCCUUAGUGCCUGACUCCACCUCCCCCGAUCUCUUUUCCACCACCUUAUUGUUUCCUACACCUCCCAAAUAAACGACUUGCUCUUA